GACGUGUCGAGCGAAGACGAGAACGAGACA
rnacentral:snRNA from 1 species